CUUUAGUAUUUCUCUUCAAAAAAUUCUAAAAUCUUUCAUCACUGCGCCCUUCCAAUUGUCCACCAAAAUCUAUUUUUAAUCUAAAUCCUCCUUGCACAAGCUCUCAACAAACUCUACUCACACAACAAUCUUCGUGUAACGCUCCUUGCGCAAACUCUUUCAUUCUCACGCAAAACAAUCUUCACUGUCUUCUCUCUCAAGAACCCACUUGACAUCGCUCGACCUGAAUGAAAAAGGGGAAAAACAUGAUUAGGGUUUCUGUGUCGAGUACAGUUUUCUCGUGAUUUUCCCCCUUUUCUCGCAACUCUACAUCGAUUAGGGUUUUGGCAUCUUGCGAGACUUGCAAAAGUUUUACCUCUUCGUGACUUGGUGAGCUUGUGGAGAGGCAACUAGAGCAAUUCCAAACCGAUUGUGAUGGUGAUGAACAAAAGGAAAAGCCUUCUGCUUCAGGAACUGACUUAGUUUUGUACAGGAGCGAUUCGUAAAAAGAAGACAACAUCUUGUGGAUCCCAAUUCUUCCACCUUGAAGAACCUUUAUCAAUGAAGGGUUUGACAUUAAAUUGCAUGGAUCGUAAAUCUAAAGCAUAUGAAGUGGUUUGCCAAGGAUUGAAGAGCAUCAAAAGCUAUUGAAAUUCUGGAAGCAUAUGAAGGGGCAUUAAAAGAUUAUCCUCUAGAAAGUGAACGGAUUGAGCAUGGGGAAAUGCUUUUAUAUAUAAGGUUGUUGCAUGGAGUUUUGUUCCUGGUAAGCAACUGGAGCAAAAGAAAAGAAAGAAGAUUGUCAAUCCUACUACACCUGUUGUAUUGUUUACCCGUUUUUGAAAUAUUUUAGCUUAUAUGAUCAUGUACAAUGUGUGUAUAUAUUAUACUCAUAUUUUUGAUAAAGUAAAGCCUUUGGUUUAUACAUUAUAAUUAAAAUUUUAA